GUGGAACGAGCGGCGGACGGGUGAGUAACACGUGGGCAACCUGCCUGUAAGACUGGGAUAACUCCGGGAAACCGGGGCUAAUACCGGAUAAUACAUUGCUUCGCAUGAAGCAAUGUUGAAAGAUGGCUUUUAGCUAUCACUUACAGAUGGGCCCGCGGCGCAUUAGCUAGUUGGUAAGGUAAUGGCUUACCAAGGCAACGAUGCGUAGCCGACCUGAGAGGGUGAUCGGCCACACUGGGACUGAGACACGGCCCAGACUCCUACGGGAGGCAGCAGUAGGGAAUCUUCCGCAAUGGACGAAAGUCUGACGGAGCAACGCCGCGUGAACGAAGAAGGUUUUCGGAUCGUAAAGUUCUGUUGUUAGGGAAGAACAAGUACCGUUCGAAUAGGGCGGUACCUUGACGGUACCUAUCGAGGAAGCCCCGGCUAACUACGUGCCAGCAGCCGCGGUAAUACGUAGGGGGCAAGCGUUGUCCGGAAUUAUUGGGCGUAAAGCGCGCGUAGGCGGUUUCUUAAGUCUGAUGUGAAAUCUUGCGGCUCAACCGCAAGCGGCCAUUGGAAACUGAGGAACUUGAGUACAGAAGAGGAGAGCGGAAUUCCACGUGUAGCGGUGAAAUGCGUAGAUAUGUGGAGGAACACCACUGGCGAAGGCGGCUCUCUGGUCUGUAACUGACGCUGAAGUGCCAAAUCCUGGGGAGCGAACAGGAUUAGAUACCCUGGUAGUCCACGCCGAAACGAUGAGUGCUAGGUGUUAGGGGGUUUCCGCCCCUUAGUGCUGCAGUUAACGCAUUAAGCACUCCGCCUGGGGAGUACGGCCGCAAGGCUGAAACUCAAAAGAAUUGACGGGGGCCCGCACAAGCGGUGGAGCAUGUGGUUUAAUUCGAAGCAACGCGAAGAACCUUACCAGGUCUUGACAUCUUCGGAUGUCCCUAGAGAUAGGGAGUUCCCUUCGGGGACCGAAUGACAGGUGGUGCAUGGUUGUCGUCAGCUCGUGUCGUGAGAUGUUGGGUUAAGUCCCGCAACGAGCGCAACCCUUGAUCUUAGUUGCCAGCAUUUAGUUGGGCACUCUAAGGUGACUGCCGGUGACAAACCGGAGGAAGGUGGGGAUGACGUCAAAUCAUCAUGCCCCUUAUGACCUGGGCUACACACGUGCUACAAUGGAUGGAACAAAGGGCAG
rnacentral:rRNA from 1 species